rnacentral:rRNA from 1 species
GAACGGGAUGGAACCAGGCGGCCGAAAGGUCUGUUCUGGCCCAUUCGUUCUCAACUAUGGGAUACCCACCUUUGCUCUUAACUGGGUGAAGGCAACAAGCGUGUCGGUGGUAUGCGUUUCGCGCGUGUAUCACCGGUGCGUGGGGUUCCCAUUCGUUCACCGAGAAUAAAUCGGGGUGUUCAAAGCAGGCAAAAAGGAGCCGCUGAACGCUACAGCUUGGGAUGAUGGAACAGGACUUUGGUUCGAUGUUUCGUCGGUUUCUAGGAUCGAAGUA